GACGGAGGGGGCUAGCGUUGUUCGGAAUUACUGGGCGUAAAGGGCGCGUAGGCUGCCAUGUGUGUCAGGUGUGAAAUCCCAAGGCUUAACCUUGGAACUGCAUCUGAAACUGCAUGGCUUGAGUGAGUAAGAGGCGGACGGAAUUCCGAGUGUAGCAGUGAAAUGCGUAGAUAUUCGGAGGAACAUCGGUGGCGAAGGCGGUUCGCUGGUACUCUACUGACGCUGAGGCGCGAAAGCGUGGGGAGCAAACAGG
rnacentral:rRNA from 1 species